AAAUCCUGUACAUGCAUAAACAUCCUCGGUUUUGCCAAAUGCUUUAUAAAUAAAACUUGUAACAAACAAAAGUUUGUUUGUCUAUCUGAUAUCAUACGUGUUAUCAUCUUACUUCUUAUCUCAUUUGUAGGUGAAGAUGGCAUCUCACGCUGAAAGAAACGCGCCAUUUAUAUUUUGGUGCGUUAAGAAAAUUUGGGGAGAACAACUCAGUUAUAAAGUAAAUACACCAGAGGAUAUCAAUAAAACCCCAAAUAAUCAAAGCGGAAUGUACAUAUUUUACUUAGACUCGGGAGUACAUCAGUAUCCUAUAUAUGUCGGUAUUACUGGCCGUAACUUCCGACAACGAUUUAAAGAGCACCACGAUAAACAAACAGGCGUGAUUUACAAAUGUAAUAACGGAGAGUUCCCAAAGAAUCAACCUCCCGUGAGAUUACCAUUAAUAGCACUUGUAAUUCCAAUUCCUUAUCCAAUGCAAUCAAAACUGAUGGAAUCUGUUUUCUUAGAAGCAUACAAUUUCUGUUUAAAUACUGAGGAAAAUGGCGAAAUCCGACUAACCGUUGAUACAGACCAACAGUUCAAGCCAGAAGAUUCAAAGCAUAACUUUGAUAUUACGUUUGGAAAUGUAAUGAAAGAAAUUCAGGCCGUGUAUAAUCAAUACAAUCAUAGAUCAUAGUGAAUUUAACAGAAACUGAUGGACUUUUCAUCUGAUCAACAAUGACAUUUGUUUUAUAGUUUAACAAUAAACUUGUACAAACAUACAAUA